rnacentral:rRNA from 1 species
AUACGGGGGAUGCAAGCGUUAUCCGGAUUUAUUGGGUUUAAAGGGUGCGUAGGCGGAUGAUUAAGCGUGAGGUGAAAUGCCACUGCUCAACAGUGGAACUGCCUCGCGAACUGGUUGUCUUGAAUGCUCCUGCCGUGGGAGGAAUGUGUGGUGUAGCGGUGAAAUGCAUAGAGAUCACACAGAACACCGAUUGCGAAGGCAGCUCACGAAGGGGUGAUUGACGCUGAGGCACGAAAGCGUGGGGAUCAAACAGGAUUAGAUACCCUGGUAGUCCACGCAGUAAACGAUGAUAACUAACCGCUGGGUCGUAGUGAUUCAGUGGCCAAGCGAAAGCGAUAAGUUAUCCACCUGGGGAGUACGACCGCAAGGUUGAAACUCAAAUGAAUUGACGGGG